AUUGAACGCUGGCGGCAGGCCUAACACAUGCAAGUCGAGCGGAUGAGAGGAGCUUGCUUCUCGAUUCAGCGGCGGACGGGUGAGUAAUGCCUAGGAAUCUGCCUGGUAGUGGGGGACAACGUUUCGAAAGGAACGCUAAUACCGCAUACGUCCUACGGGAGAAGGCAGGGGACCUUCGGGCCUUGCGCUAUCAGAUGAGCCUAGGUCGGAUUAGCUAGUUGGUGAGGUAAUGGCUCACCAAGGCGACGAUCCGUAACUGGUCUGAGAGGAUGAUCAGUCACACUGGAACUGAGACACGGUCCAGACUCCUACGGGAGUCAGCAGUGGGGAAUAUUGGACAAUGGGCGAAAGCCUGAUCCAGCCAUGCCGCGUGUGUGAAGAAGGUCUUCGGAUUGUAAAGCACUUUAAGUUGGGAGGAAAGGUUGUAGAUUAAUACUCUGCAAUUUUGACGUUACCGACAGAAUAAGCACCGGCUAACUCUGUGCCAGCAGCCGCCGUAACAC
rnacentral:rRNA from 1 species